GAUAAACGCUGGCGGCGUGCUUAACACAUGCAAGUCGAGCGAAGUUUUUCUUUCGGGAGGAACUUAGUGGCGGACGGGUGAGUAACGCGUGGGUAACCUGCCCUGUACAGGGGGACAACAGCUGGAAACGGCUGCUAAUACCGCAUAAGCCCUUAGCACUGUAUGGUGCAUAGGGAAAAGGAGCAAUCCGGUACAGGAUGGACCCGCGUCUGAUUAGCCAGUUGGCAGGGUAACGGCCUACCAAAGCGACGAUCAGUAGCCGAUCUGAGAGGAUGUACGGCCACAUUGGGACUGAGACACGGCCCAGACUCCUACGGGAGGCAGCAGUGGGGAAUAUUGCACAAUGGAGGAAACUCUGAUGCAGCGACGCCGCGUGAGUGAAGAAGUAUUUCGGUAUGUAAAGCUCUAUCAGCAGGAAAGAAAAUGACGGUACCUGACGAAGAAGCACCGGCUAAAUACGUG
rnacentral:rRNA from 1 species